UCGGGGGGGGGGGCGGCGGGUGCUAUAAUGCAGUCGACGCGUUGGCCCAAUUGAUUGAUGGUGCUUGCACCUGAUUGAUUUUGGUCGCCAACGAGUGGCGGACGGGUGAGUAACACGUAGGUAACCUGCCCAGAAGCGGGGGACAACAUUUGGAAACAGAUGCUAAUACCGCAUAACAACGUUGUUCGCAUGAACAACGCUUAAAAGAUGGCUUCUCGCUAUCACUUCUGGAUGGACCUGCGGUGCAUUAGCUUGUUGGUGGGGUAAUGGCCUACCAAGGCGAUGAUGCAUAGCCGAGUUGAGAGACUGAUCGGCCACAAUGGGACUGAGACACGGCCCAUACUCCUACGGGAGGCAGCAGUAGGGAAUCUUCCACAAUGGGCGCAAGCCUGAUGGAGCAACACCGCGUGAGUGAAGAAGGGUUUCGGCUCGUAAAGCUCUGUUGUUAAAGAAGAACACGUAUGAGAGUAACUGUUCAUACGUUGACGGUAUUUAACCAGAAAGUCACGGCUAACUACGUGCCAGCAGCCGCGGUAAUACGUAGGUGGCAAGCGUUAUCCGGAUUUAUUGGGCGUAAAGAGAGUGCAGGCGGUUUUCUAAGUCUGAUGUGAAAGCCUUCGGCUUAACCGGAGAAGUGCAUCGGAAACUGGAUAACUUGAGUGCAGAAGAGGGUAGUGGAACUCCAUGUGUAGCGGUGGAAUGCGUAGAUAUAUGGAAGAACACCAGUGGCGAAGGCGGCUACCUGGUCUGCAACUGACGCUGAGACUCGAAAGCAUGGGUAGCGAACAGGAUUAGAUACCCUGGUAGUCCAUGCCGUAAACGAUGAGUGCUAGGUGUUGGAGGGUUUCCGCCCUUCAGUGCCGGAGCUAACGCAUUAAGCACUCCGCCUGGGGAGUACGACCGCAAGGUUGAAACUCAAAGGAAUUGACGGGGGCCCGCACAAGCGGGGGAGCAUGUGUUUUAAUUCGAAGCUACGCGGAAGAACCUUACCAGGGUCUUGGACAUCUUGGCGCCAACCCUAAAAAAAAGGGCCGUUUCCCUUCGGGAAACCCAAUGAACAGGUG
rnacentral:rRNA from 1 species